AGCUACAAAAACAACAACAACCUUCAGAAACCUCCUGGAGUGCUAACACUCAUCGACGACGUGCCAGAGCACUGCAUCGUCUUACCUGUCACCUCCUCUCGUGCAGUCGACCAAAGGAGCAUCAUUAUCGAGCUGCUUAGUGGCCUAAACUGCUGGCCCCUCGUGCAAGGUCCAGCCCAGGAAGGCCCUUCCAUCCUCAGGUGCUAUGGCACACUGAAGUAGGCUUCCCAGUUUGGUACCUAUCUGAAACUGGCAUUUGAUCUCCCAAGGAAACAGAACUCCUCACAGGACCAGAACAGUGUAGGACAAAAUGUCAAUCCUAAACAUCACGGAUCUCCAGACCUUACCUUCCUCCUUUACGAACUGUUAUGACCUGAAGAGAUUCUGGGACUUGCUGUACAUUCUGCACUGAUAAACACUGAUGUGCAUCACUCCAAUAAAUCCUCAAACUACCACCAAGCUCUGUCUUUGCAUACCUGCUGACUGGGGACACUGCACAGAAAUAGAACCAUAGAAUACUGGAUGCUUUCUGCCUUGCUUCCUUUAUAUAUCAACAUGCUUGUGAGGUCUACCAUCUUUGGUGAAUCAACCUUUGUGUCUUAUACAGCACUCUGGAUGUGGAUACUGUGUCAAUCAGUAUAUGUCAACCAUAUGCGGCUAAAAGGAUCCCAGGGAAGAUGGAACCCUGUCUCUCCCGACAGAAAGACCACAACUGUAAAAUCUCCAGAGAUAGCUAUUUGGAAGAUUCUGAAGAGCAAAUGGUAAAUGAAA